UACAGGGGGGGCAAGCGUUGUUCGGAAUUACUGGGCGUAAAGGGUCUGUAGGUGGCCAACUAAGUCAGACGUGAAAUCCCUCAGCUUAACUGGGGAACUGCGUCUGAUACUGGAUGGCUUGAGUGUGGGAGAGGAAUGCGGAAUUCCAGGUGUAGCGGUGAAAUGCGUAGAUAUCAGGAGGAACACCUGUGGCGAAAGCGGCGCACUGGACCACAACUGACGCUGAGGCGCGAAAGCUAGGGGAGCAAACAGG
rnacentral:rRNA from 1 species